AGGAUUAUUGCUGCCGGGGAGGAGGCUGAAGCUGCACUUUUACGAAGAAGAGAGAACAUGUAAACCAGUUAAUUAAACAUUCGGCAGAUUACUGCGAGUCGAUGCUUUUUUAUAUAAUCUCCCCAAAGGAGCUGUCAGUGACUUUAAACUCUAAAUUAAAAUAAUUGGGCAUCCCUUCGAAUAGAUGCUUCAAUUAAUGUGUUAGGCUGCCUUUUAUGCUGAAGUAUCUAAAUUUUCUGAGUUGUGAAUUGUAGGACCCUUUCGCAUUGUCUUUCUUUUAUUCUCAUAAGUGUGUUUUAUAAUUUGAUAACUCUUUUAUUUUAAUUACAGAGACCGAAGAAAUGUUCGAGAGGAGCAGGGAUAGGGAAAGACAACGUUUGUUAGAAAUUGAAGAGAGACAGAAAAAAUAGACGUGACCAGCAAGACAGAGAGUACAAAGAAGGGUUAAGAAGAGAUCAAGAGAGGGACCUACAACACCUCGUCGGUGCUGAAGGCGAAGGCAACAUUAGAGUCCGUCUCCGUGGAAGGGACACAACCUUCCAAAGACGUUUCACUGCUUCCGAUACAAACGAGCUCUUGUAUCAAGUGGCCAUUGCCAACCUGCGCGAGAGGAAUAUCACCAUCCGAAAUGCCAGUGGAAGAAUCAUUGAAAGAAAUGACGAUCCUAUUGACGUUGUAGACGCAACGACACUAAUGGUCUUUCAUGACUUGGGGCGGACACUACCAGGCCACCUUUUCCGACCUUUGGUUGGUAGUGUUGUGCCCAACCCUUGCUGGAGACCCAGAAGUAAGGGCCACUAUUGACUUAAGCAAUGUUACCCAGGAUCGCAUACAAGCUGCUGUAGCAGAGGCUGAGGCGAGACUGGCCCUUACAACCGAAUCAAUGUGAGUUUUGUUGAUUGUCUUGAAUCACCAUCACCAUCC